AGGGCACCACCAGGAGUGGAGCCUGCGGCUUAAUUUGACUCAACACGGGAAAACUCACCCGGCCCGGACACUGGAAGGAUUGACAGAUUGAGUGCUCUUUCUUGAUUCAGUGGGUGGUGGUGCAUGGCCGUUCUUAGUUGGUGGAGUGAUUUGUCUGGUUAAUUCCGAUAACGAACGAGACUCUAGCCUACUAAAUAGAUCGUCGGCUUACAAACGCCGGCGAGACUUCUUAGAGGGACAGGCGGUGAUUCAACCGCACGAAACAGAGCAAUAACAGGUCUGUGAUGCCCUUAGAUGUCCGGGGCCGCACGCGCGCUACACUGAAGUGAUCAGCGUGCUUUUUCAACCUACUCUGUCAAGAGUGGGGAACCCAAUGAACCUUCUUCGUGAUUGGGAUAGGGGAUUGUAAUUAUUCCCCUUGAACGAGGAAUUCCCAGUAAGCGCGAGUCAUAAGCUCGCGUUGAUUACGUCCCUGCCCUUUGUACACACCGCCCGUCGCUACUACCGAUUGAAUGUUUU
rnacentral:rRNA from 1 species